rnacentral:rRNA from 1 species
UCCUGGGUCGAACGAUGAUCCGGUGCUUGCACCGGGGAUUAGUGGCGAACGGGUGAGUAACACGUGAGUAACCUGCCCUUGACUCUGGGAUAAGCCUGGGAAACCGGGUCUAAUACCGGAUACGACCCGUCACCGCAUGGUGGUGGGUGGAAAGAUUUUUUGGUUUUGGAUGGACUCGCGGCCUAUCAGCUUGUUGGUGAGGUAAUGGCUCACCAAGGCGACGACGGGUAGCCGGCCUGAGAGGGUGACCGGCCACACUGGGACUGAGACACGGCCCAGACUCCUACGGGAGGCAGCAGUGGGGAAUAUUGCACAAUGGGCGAAAGCCUGAUGCAGCGACGCCGCGUGAGGGAUGACGGCCUUCGGGUUGUAAACCUCUUUCAGCAGGGAAGAAGCGAAAGUGACGGUACCUGCAGAAGAAGCGCCGGCUAACUACGUGCCAGCAGCCGCGGUAAUACGUAGGGCGCAAGCGUUGUCCGGAAUUAUUGGGCGUAAAGAGCUCGUAGGCGGUUUGUCGCGUCUGCUGUGAAAGCCCGGGGCUCAACCCCGGGUCUGCAGUGGGUACGGGCAGACUAGAGUGCAGUAGGGGAGACUGGAAUUCCUGGUGUAGCGGUGAAAUGCGCAGAUAUCGGAGGAACACCGAUGGCGAAGGCAGGUCUCUGGGGCUGUAACUGACGCUGAGGAGCGAAAGCAUGGGGAGCGAACAGGAUUAGAUACCCUGGGUAGUCCAUGCGCGUAAACGUUUGGGCACUAGGUGUGGGGGGAC